UACGUAGGGGCAAGCGUUGUCCGGAUUUAUUGGGCGUAAAGAGCGUGUAGGCGGCCAGGUAGGUCUGCUGUGAAAACUCGAGGCUUAACCUCGAGAUGUCGGCGGAAACCAUCUGGCUAGAGUCCGGAAGAGGAGAAUGGAAUUCCCGGUGUAGCGGUGAAAUGCGCAGAUAUCGGGAAGAACACCCGUGGCGAAGGCGGUUCUCUG
rnacentral:rRNA from 1 species